rnacentral:rRNA from 1 species
CCUACGGGAGGCAGCAGUGGGGAAUAUUGCACAAUGGGGGAAACCCUGAUGCAGCGACGCCGCGUGAGUGAAGAAGUAUUUCGGUACGUAAAGCUCUAUCAGCAGGGAAAAAAAUGACGGUACCUGACUAAGAAGCCCCGGCUAACUACGUGCCAGCAGCCGCGGUAAUACGUAGGGGGCAAGCGUUAUCCGGAUUUACUGGGUGUAAAGGGAGCGUAGACGGCAGCGCAAGUCUGGAGUGAAAUCCCAUGGCUUAACCAUGGAACUGCUUUGGAAACUGUGCAGCUAGAGUGCAGGAGAGGUAAGCGGAAUUCCUAGUGUAGCGGUGAAAUGCGUAGAUAUUAGGAGGAACACCAGUGGCGAAGGCGGCUUACUGGACUGUAACUGACGUUGAGGCUCGAAAGCGUGGGGAGCAAACAGGAUUAGAUACCCGGGUAGUC